CCUGCCGGGCGCUGCGGAAGCGCAGGCGGCCGGGGCUGCCUCCCUGUCGGACCCUGGGCGGCGGGAGGCGGGGCGACAGCGCGGGGCACGGCGGCAUCCUCCAGAGCGGCCAUCGCCGGGGCUCCAUGGAGAAGCGCGGCCCGGUGCUGCACAUCGUGGUGGUGGGCUUCCACCACAAGAAGGGCUGCCAGGUUGAAUUUUCCUAUCCCCCCCUAAAGCCUGGAGAAGGACAUGAUAGCCACAGUUUACCAGAGGAGUGGAAAUACUUACCAUUUCUUGCCCUACCAGAUGGCGCUCACAACUAUCAGGAAGAUACCGUGUUUUUCCAUUUGCCUCCAAGAUGUGGGGAUCGAACCACAGUAUAUGGUGUUUCUUGCUAUAGGCAGAUUGAAGCGAAGGCAUUAAAAGUACGGCAAGCAGACAUCACCCGAGAAACAGUACAGAAAAGUGUCUGUGUUCUCAGUCAGCUGCCUUUGUAUGGGUUACUUCAGGCAAAGCUGCAACUCAUUACACAUGCGUAUUUUGAAGAAAAAGACUUCUCGCAAAUUUCAAUUCUAAAGGAACUUUAUGAUCAUAUGAAUAGUUCCUUGGGCAGUACAUUGCUAGAAGGGUCACAAGUUUAUCUUGGUCUGUCUCCUCGGGAUCUUGUUCUUCACUUUAGACAUAAGGUCUUGAUCCUUUUUAAAUUGAUUCUUCUAGAGAAAAAGGUGCUGUUUUAUAUUUCUCCAGUAAAUAGAUUGGUGGGAGCUCUGAUGACUGUCCUGUCACUCUUUCCUGGUAUGAUUGAACAUGGUCUUACUGACUGCUCACUGUAUAGACCAAGAAAGAGCAUAUCGGAGGAUGCUGGCUUGCAGGAAAAUACACCACGGUUAGAUGGUUAUGUUUCUGUGUCUGCUGCUGAUACUUCAAAUACAAACUUGGGAAUGGGAAAGGGAGGCAGGAAGAUGGCAGGAGACCAUUCUCUGGAAAGUCAAAAAGCAAACGUGCCUUUCUCCCAGUCAGAGAAGACUUGCAACGGAGCUCAGUCCUCCCAUGGUACUGUGCAGCGCUUGAAAGUUCCUGCCCACACUUCUCCAGCAUCCUCUGAAAGUGACUGGGAGACCUUAGAUCCUAGCAUUUUGGAGGAGUCUAAUUUGAAAGAAGGAGAACAUGAAAAUAUAGCCUCAGACCAGGCUGGAAAUCUUCCAAGCGAAGGCGCAAGCUCAGAAAGCCUUCCAAUCACCGUGCAGCCCCAAGCAAAUACGGGACACACAGUGUUUGUUCCAGGACUUAUAUCUGGCUUGGAAGAGGACCAGUAUGGUAUGCCGUUGGCAAUUUUUACAAAGGGGUACCUUUGCUUGCCGUACAUGGCACUGCAGCAGCAUCAUCUCCUGUCAGAUGUAACAGUCCGCGGCUUUGUUGCAGGAGCCACCAAUAUCCUGUUCCGUCAGCAGAAACAUCUGAGUGAUGCAAUUGUGGAAAUAGAAGAUGCUCAUGUACAAAUCCAUGAUCCAGAACUCCGUAAGAUCCUGAACCCAACAACUGCUGACCUAAGAUUUGCAGAUUACUUGGUGAAGCAUGUAACUGAGAACAGAGAUGAUGUUUUCCUUGAUGGCACUGGAUGGGAAGGAGGAGAUGAGUGGAUCAGGGCUCAGUUCAGUGCUUAUCUUCAUGCACUGCUUGCUGCUGUGCUGCAACCAGAAAAUGAAAAGACUCUGUCAGACUUUGGAACGCCAUUUGUAGCAGCCUGGAAAAACACCCACAACUACAGAGUAUGGAAUAGCAACAAGCAUCCAGCUCUUGCAGAGGUAAAUUCUAGCCACCCAUUCCACGGACAGUACUCUGUAUCCGAUGUCAAGUUAAGAUUGUCACACUCUGUGCAAAACAGUGAACGUGGAAAGAAGAUUGGAAAUGUGAUGGUUUCUACUAGCCGAAAUGUUGUACAAACGGGAAAAGCUGUAGGUCAGUCAGUUGGAGGAGCCUUCACAAGUGCGAAAUCAGCUAUGUCAUCGUGGUUUUCCACUUUUACGCAGUCAACCCAAAGCCUCGGGGACUAAAUGAUGGUUUUGCACAGUGCUGCUGCAUAUUUCAGGUGCAGUGCUUUCUCUGAGCUGUAAAAAGAUGGCUCCAAAACAUAGGAGUGGAGAUUAACUACCCAGGACCAAAACAAGAUCACCAGGACAGCAGCACUGUAAGAACGUUUAGACUGAAGGAAGGACAGUUAUCUAAAGAGAAGGCAGAUGUAGAGGUAUUUUGUCUUUAAAAAACAAUAUUGGGAAUAAUGUCACUCGCAUGCUAUAUGAAACGGACAGUGAAUUCUGACAAAGCAAACUCCUUUGGUCUCUCAUCUCUGAUUUCAGAGAGAGAAACACAGUGGAGAAUUUAAAAGUUCAGGCAUACCAGAAAGUGGCAAAAAACUAACGCUGAGCCUAAUAUAUUGCCUAAUGCAACCUGUGUUUACUGACCUUUGCUGCUCUUAAUAAAUGGGGUGUGUAUGUAUUGUGACGUCUGCAAUGCUGUGCCAAAGAGCUGGCUGAGGAGUAUGUCCACUUCUGAAGUGUGGAACUCAGUUCUUAGGUGGUUUUUUUUUUCCUUCUUCAAUAAAAACACAUUCUCAGAGUUAAACUAGUUAGCCCUACCCCUUGCACAUUCUAAAUAAAAUCUCAGUAUCAAGACUUAGCUUGAUGUUUAGCACAUAAUCUGUACAGAAUUUAAGGUCUGCACUACAUCACUACCUUUCUAGUGCUUUUUAUUGUCCUGUUUACUGGCUCUGGUCAUACACACACUCCACUGCAUUAGUAUGUAUUCAGUACGGUUUGCUAUUUUAAGAGAUGAAGUCAUGUAACGCUUCAGGUGACCAGUCACAUUUCAGCACUUUGGUCUUGGUGUAUGUACAAUGUAAACCCUUUCUUUGCUAAAAUGAAGGUACCAAGUGUCACCAGUUAGGCCAGGCCCCAGAAGAGCUCUGUAUUUUUAGAGCAGGAGUGGAGAGAAGCUCACACAGAGAUACUCUUAUUACUCUGUUCCACCCUCGUGCCUCUCCCAUGUUCUCUGUUAGUCCUUUCUUCCACGUCACAGUUUCUGUAAGUUGGCGCUGACCUGGCUCUAGCUCUCACCGGCCAGUUCAGACUGGUUACUGGCCUCUUCCAUACCAGAACUCAGGAGGUGCAUGAAGAUGCACAGCUUCCAUAUAGCCUGCCUCCCAGCACCGUGAGUGAUGCCUGUGUUUUAUUCAGUCUGCUAGUACUCCUCCUCCAGGGGGUACGCUCUUUGAGUAAGAACUCUGCCUUGCUGGAUUGUACUCAUGAUAAAUGUUGUAGGAGGGGGAUGCUUUAAAUAAUUCUGGAGUGGAACUGAACAGAACUUUGUCUGGCUAGUGUUGAGCAUGAAGUGGAAAGAAACUGACUUUAAGGGCAAGCCUACUUCAGAGCCUGCCUAGAUCAAAGCUCCUUUCAUGUAGGAAUCCAGAUUCAAAAAGAGAAAACAACGUGAAGGUAGCUGUAAAUGGGAAACGGGAGGGAAGCCACUGGCUUGCUAAUAAGGUCAGUGCUCUGCAGGUUUGCUCACCAGUGUUCCUUGGCUGUCCUGCACUAAGGCAGGUGCUAGUGCGUUGUAACAGAGGUACUGAGAAGUAAAAUGAGAAACGUGGUCAAAAGCAGUGCUUUAAACCUUAAAACAAAUUAAAAACUUCAGAAUGUUAUAAAAUUAUUUUCCCCCAAAAUUACCUGUCCAUCUGAUCCUGUUCUCUGUAAAGCUUGACACAAUUCACUGCCCUAGAUCUGAGUGGUCCCCUUGGAACAAAAAUUAAACUUCCAAUUAGGUAUGGAUUUAGCCAACUAUAAAAAAUGAGCAGAUGCAUUAAAAAUUAGCAGAGGCCAGAGCGCUUCUUUUUAUUACUUCCAGUAUGGGGGGCUGAAACUAUGUAGGACUAACCUAAAGUAGUUCUACCAGAAAAGAAGCAAACUUCUGCAAAUGUAGCAAGGCUUGAGGACAAAGUUGAUUCAUUGAAACUCAUACCUAAAGGUACUUCAAAGCCAAGUCCACAUUGAAUGGGCUGGUGUGAGGCUGAAGCUUUGUCAUAAGAUACCAGCUUAGAAGUCUCUGAAGGCUUUAAUCAUAUUUACUCUAUUUAUGAAAUGAACGCUGUAUUUCUUUCAGCUGUUGUCUUUGUUCCCGCAGAAUUCCGUCUUUCGCUAAUUCCACCACUAGUGACCAUUUCCAGGCACAUGACAGCGCUUUGCCAGCAUGGUUUCCUUCUCCAAUUAUGCAAGGAAAGAAUUUAGACUUGAGAAUAGCAUUUGCCAGCUGUGUUCUCCUGCGGGGUUGAACACUGAGUGGAGCAACUAGCUGUGUAAGUGAACUAGUAGCAAGUACGUUUUAACAGAGGCACUAGAGAACUGUUCAACACUUGACUGGUCUUGUCUUUAAGUACUCUAUUAUUAAUAGUAAAUUGAUUUUGCGUUAGGUACUACAUCAUCUUAGACUGUAUCAAAUAAAUAAAAAAAUAUAGUAUCUAGAAAUAUAAAAGUAGUAUAUUAAAAAUGCAGGUUAGCAGGAAGUUAUGUAGACUGUGUUUUAAAAGAUGUUCCUAAACGGAUAAAAUGAAGGCCAGUUCUUCAUUGUUCUGUGAGGCAACUGUUACUUACAGCCACUGUGAUUUAGUAAUCCCUUGUCCUAUUCAAAUUUACCUUUUUUUUUUUUUUCCCUCUCCUUUCCUUAUGUACAGUUUCUUACCAAAGAUUUUAAACUCCAGCUGAAAGUUCUUAGUAACAGAACAAACUCAGUGUGCUCCUUCACUAGCUGUAGAUCAUCUAUGCUUCAAGAACCUAGGCUUGUCCUAAAGGUUAACACAGCCAGAUAGCACAGGCUACGGUGAGAAGGACCCACAGAGCUGGGCAGACCAUUCUGGCUGGAGCUACCACGAUGCCACUCAUUUUUGCCAGUGUUUUUCUUUUAGUGUAUACUCCCGUGAACAGGCUUGGAACUGCAUGUCCCCGACUACAUGAAAGCAAUAUAACAGACCCAGCAACAGGAUGCCCUGCAUCACUUCUCCCCUCUUACCUAAGCAAGUCAGUCAGGUGUUUUAAGAAAUAAAAAAAAGAGUUAAGGUAAUGGUAAAUGCAAACAUGUUAUUCUGGGUCCCAUAAACCCUUAGACAGUACAAAAUGCCAGAGCAUUAGGAAGAGUUUUAUAGGAGGCAGGUUUAUCCAAAAAUCCCUUUUCCAGUGAAAACCUUUAAUAACUGUAGAAGACAAAACUUUGUAAAUCCACUGGAGCCUCAGCCAUGCAAAUACACUGGUGUAAUUCACUGGCAGUAGAGCAGAAUUUGUCCCGUGAUGGGAGAAAUGCUGAGUUACAAAAAUCAUAGCGAGGGAUUGGAGCUCUAGGUGAUCCUCAGUUGGCCCUCACCACCUCAUUUCCAGCUUUCACUGACCAGCAGUCAGCUCACGUGCACGUCUCCAAGCUUUGCACAGCUCAACUAUUGCCAGUUGCCUUCAACCAAUUACUCGCUAGAAGCGUGCAUGCAGUGGGCGGGUGUUGGAGCUGUGCCUACUUGAACCAGAAAGCACACUCAAACUCAGUCUUGGAUUCAGUCUUUUUUAAUAAAUUAAUGUCAUUCAAAAUACAGUGCCAGAACAUGAUGCAGCUGAACAUGCUAGUAAGGUUUGUCAUGAAGCACCUGUGUUCAUGUUAGGUUGGCGGCGCCCCGCUACUGCUAGUGGUUCCUGGGAUUAAUGCCAGAGCAGCACUAGUCACCUGCUCUCCUGCACGCAGAGCACAGGAUGUUCCUGAACGGUUUGCUCCCCCCCCAAAGUAAAAAACCUGAUAGCUAAGGGAUAUCUAUACACAGUCACACUACAGUAAUGCUUGUUAUUAAAUUAACAGAAAAUAAAGACCUGGUUAAUCCACACUAAAACUUUGUUUUACAAUGGAAAAAUACAUCAGCAGCAGGAAGUAAUAUACAUGAGCCAAUGUUACUGUAAUACAGAACGUGGAGACAUUUACUGAUUAAAGCUCCACAUAGACCCGCACUAUGAGGGCUGACAAUUCCUAUUGCAAGCCCAGCAACUUAAGUCCACACCUGGUAAACUACCAGCUGCUUGGAAGACCUGUAUUCUAAAUAGACAGGUAUAAGUUAGUGAAAAUAGAAUACAUGCACCUAAUAAUACAGCUUGACUGAACCUGCAGUCAUUUUGCCCUGCGUGUUACCAUACACUGGAAGAUCUACCCUUCCUACCACAGGUAGAUCCAUGGGAUUUGUUUCUUUUUCUUUUCACGGCAUUGCUAUACCAACGCGAAUAUUAGUAUUACAUAAGUGCGGCACAGUCCUUUAAUUAGGCCACGCUGACAAUUAUAGAACUAGCACUUAAGUAGAAUAUCCAGAAGUAGUUCAAAGAUAACUGGAAGAUACUUUCGAAAGAGUUGUGACAUCAUCCUAGAAACAGUAACUACUUUUUUCCUGAACCAAGACUUCAUAGAACUAGAAAUUAAUUCUUUAGACAAGUCAGAUGCUUAAGCUCAUGAUAUACAUAUAUAUAUUUCUCAAUUAUCAGAUAAUAGUAUUUCAGAUUAUGGAAGCAUAUCUGCUCAUUUCACUGAUUCAUACUGAAUGGCGACAAGUGUUAGGUAGGGCAUAAAAAUACAACUCGUGAAAGACGGGUUUGACAUCUCUGUUCCCGGACCUCUUCUUUCACAAACAAUUUAUUUCAAGAUAACUGAGCACAGGGUCAGCUGUGCAGUCUAAUCUGGGAGCUAUACAGGUGGUAAAGUAACCAUCUCCCCGUCCAGCUCAAACUCAUCAGCUCCAUCGGGUGAGAAGAGAUACGUUGGAGGUUUCCAUAGGGACUCUUCAAGGCAAGAUGGAUACAGCUUUCCUACAGUGCACCGGAAGUCUUUCCCCAAGUCCCAGAGCACACGUUCUGAUAUGUGCUGUCGUAGGAACCAGCGAUCGAGUUCCAGGUCGUACUGAUAGGUGGCAUACUUUGCUCGCUCGUUCAUGUGGGUCUCUCGUAUAAAGACGCACAGAGAAUUAGAGAUGACGACGGCUCUGACGCAUGGGUCGGAGUACCGCUUGGCAGGGAUGUUGGCUGCCAUUCUCCAUUCGUUUUUAUUCACAUCGUAGAUUUCCACAGUUACGGAAGACCCAUCGACAGUGCUGCUUGGGAGUCUCACGCCAGAAUUGCUGGCAAUAUGCAGGCCUCCAAUAUAGAAUAUUUUAUCGCCAAAAGCAGCAGCUGAAGCAAAACACCUACUUGUCUGUCGCAUAGCCAUUUCUACCCAAGCAUCUGACCUGGGAAAAUAACAGUACAUCAAGUUGUGUGACAUUACGUAAAUGCAGUUGUGAACUGCUACUGCCGUGCUCCAUUGCCAGGCGCAAGGCAACGGGCUUACCAUGGUCCAUUCAUCCUUCUCGGUAUCGUACCUCUCCACCGUUCUCCUGUUGAGUUCUCCACCAACGCUGUCUCCUCCAAUUGCAUAGAUGUAUCCUUCACAGCAGACCAGGGAUGGCUUUAUACGAACAAAGAGCAUCGGUGUCUUUGGAAACCAAGUGUUUUGCUGUGCAUCAAACCAGUAAAAGCAGUUCACAGUUCUGAAGGCAGCCUGGAAUUUGCUGCUUUUACUGUGAUUGGUUUUCGUGUUUUUCAGAGGGACUUGCCCGCCUGCUAUGUAGAUGUCAUUGUCGGGAGUUACAAGCGUCCCAACCUUAUGCAAGUCAGCAGGAGGGUUGCAGAGUUUGUAAACUUUCUCCGCCUGGGGGCUAUAACAGACAGAAGAAUAAAGACUACCAGGGUUUUCAGCAGCAGCUUCAAUGAAUAUCAUCAUCUCCUCUUUUGUCAUACCAAGUCUGGGCUUGAAAAACUUGGGCAUGGAUUUGUACAGCCCUUGUACCACCACUGACUUAUCAUUGGGCGGUAAACCUUGAAACCAGGCUCUCUGCGUUACUUCUGAAAGUGCAUCGAUUCGGAUUUGGCUAAGAACAGAGGACAAAUACUGUGAUCGUGAUUCGGUGUUGUACUCCAGCCAUAGCAUAGCAGCUUCGCGAACUGUCUCCUCCUUUUCCACAUUCAAAUUGUCACUGCUUAAAAUAUCUAUCAGUAGAUCAUGUGACAGUUGCAUGAAAGCCUCCUGGUGGUACACAGCUGUGAACUUGUGCUCUACCAUUCUUUUCGCACUCUGUUUUAACUCUUCACAGCUGAAGAGAUCAGCAAAACUUAAGAGACGCACGCAAUUCUCUGCGUUAAUUUUUUUGAUUAAGUAUUCUCUACACCGUUGUAACACAUCGUCUACCUGUAAGGCAAAGAAGAAACACACCAAGAAUUACUGCUUACAGUCUAGUCCUUCAUGUACCAGCAGCAGGUAGAAGUACCUGCUUUUAGGUUCCAACACCAGAGCUUAGGCCUGGAAUACUACAUACAUACAAAAAUACAGCAGUGACUUACUCAGCCGAUUCAUACAGAUGAAGUACCUCAUGUGAUUAUGUCCACUUGAGAAGCUAAUUAUCUAAAUAUUAGAACUGCAUUGUUUUACUUCUACCCUCCACAGGGUCCAUAAAGCAAGGAGGGAUGGGUACAUGAAACAAUACCUGGCAAGCAACUGCUGCCUGCGCUGAGCAAACUGAACAAGAGUAUUUUGAAAUCACUACGCAGAAGAGACUAUUUAAUAGGAUGAAGAAAAAAAAAGGUUCAGGGAUCAGCAGCAGUUAUUUCAUACUCAGAAUAAAACAUUCCUACCUGUAAGAAGCAGGCAGUUUCAUAAAGCUGUUCUACUGUGCUGUCACUUAUUGCCAAGUUACCCGUGUAUGCAUAAGUGAUGAUGAUUUGUAAAGUGGCCGCAUCCACGUUCCUCAGGUGUACGUGUGUUUGUUUGCUUUCACUUAGCCCACUCAUGAACAUGGCUCUGAAGAGAAACAUACAUAUUAAGACCAACAGUAAGUACAGGAAUCUUAAAGUCACUUAUCACCUGUAAGCCUUCAGCGAUUACACCCAAAAGGUGAACACUCUCUUUGGUUGCCUGCUUACGGGUGUUUAGCAUCGACCUUAGGCUACCAGCUAGUAUUUAAGAUAACGCACUUGUACAGAACAUUCAAAAAGUACCAUCAGUGCCUUCUCUAGAAAUGCUUUCUAUUUAUGCAAACUCUUUUGUAUUAAUCAGCAGAUAACUCUAAUGAUUUUAAAGUUUUAAUGAUAAUAUUUAAAACUUUUUCCUAUGUCCAGUGAUAAGAGGGAAGAAACAUCCUCCAGAAAAUACUGUUGAAACAUACACAGAUAAAUUUUAGAUUCUAAAACAAAAGCAGCAGAUUUCUGCAACGGACUGGGCUAAGUCAUACCAAAAAGAACGCUCCUCUGGGAGGAGGAGAAGGUUAGCUCAGAAAAAGGAGCAAGCACAAGCACUUCAUGAAGUAUUUCUUAUAUACCAUUCAUAAUAACAAUAUGCAGUAAAUGUCAAGUUUGUAGACAAAAGCAAACAAACAAAAAAAAUCUAUCAGGCUUAGUCUGAAGGAAAAAAAAAAAAAGCCUAAGUAUUUCCAUUACAUCUUCCUGAAAAAGUAGAAAGGCAAUUUAAUGGGGAACACAGAUUUUAAAAAGCCUUCUACUAAUUCAGGUUUGGUAUUGACAGUUGGACUGAAAAUUCAGCUCAACACUCUUUAUAUUUAUUUGGGACUUUUUAGGAAGCCAGAUAUGAGACCGGGUCAAAGGGGCAGUGGGUGCAGCCUGCAGUCCUGCCUUAAGUGGGUGAGGCAAAGGGGGCGUGGAGAUACAACUUCCUAAGCAAAGCCAUUCCAACAAGCAUCUGGUACAAAGACAGUGCCCUGCCACCAUUCCUUCCUGCCCCAGCCCCAUCCCUCUGUCUUCUUCUAAGCUCCUUAACUCAGGGCAACUUGCAUUUUAGGAGGGAUCACUGACUGGCCAAGUGAGUGUCAGCUUGCCACGCAGCUUCUAGAGGUAAGCAAGGCAGUACGAGUGCCAGCAGACUCCUCUUCACAGAAAGGGCGAGGUAGCUGUUCGAGAAUCUGGCUCUAGCACAUGCUUACAUGCUGCUGAGCGGCCUGCACUGGAGCUGGGCUGCCGCAGCACAGCAUUCAAGCACAAAGAUGGAAGGUAAGCUGGCUGCAGUCGUACACAACAGCUGGGUCACGCUAAGAAAUGCUUUUCUGUUCUUCCCCCUCUCCCCACAGCCUCCUUCAGGGCUAUCAAUUUUUCAUAAUAAAGCUAAAUUUAGGAAGCCAAGCAUCUUUUUGUAAACCAAAGCAGAGAAGAAAAACAGAACAUGACAAAACCACAAGCUUGAUACUUCUUUUAACCAGUGCCAAAGCCUCAUUCCAUAAAUAAUAAACAAACACAUAUGAGUAAGAGAUCUGACUGCGUUUUCUAAUGCAGCACACUGUGUGGACUUUUGACAGCUUUCCAACCUUAUGAUUAGCCACCCACAUUAAAUCUGGCCACAUUUCCAGUGGCUGUUAUUUUAUAGACGGUUGGAUCUAUGUCAUCUGCAGAAGGCCAACAGCAAUAAUCAUUAUCUAGUGAUCACACAAUACUUAUUGCUAAAAAUUGUACCAGACUCAUCUGAGAUAAAAUUCACACAAAACCCAGCAGCAACAAAAACUUGUGUGAAACUAAUAAGUUAACCCUCAAACAGUUCCUGCGUUAGAAGGUAUUCUCUAUAGUCUAUACAAGAAAGCAGACAAAACACAUGUUAGAAGUAUUCUGUACAGAGAGCCCAUCUCAACAAGAGAACAGAAUUUGCAAACCUUCCUUUUAUUAAACGGGACAGAAAAGUUAUAACCCCUCCUCAAUGCACCAGGAAGGUGAAACAUGCAUGGAUGUCACCAAGACUGGUUUCAGUCUUCAAAACCCCUUCCAGAUGGGCAGAUUAAUUAUACUGUGUUGCCAAUAAAAAAUUAUUCAUCACUGCAGAAGAUUCAUUGUACUAGGAAGGUAUCUGCAAAAAGUAGUGCUCAACAUAUCUUACUAAUAAAAACUUCAAAAGACAAAAAACAGGACACCUGGGGAGCAGGAGCUACUGAAUUAAAAAUUGUACCAGCAUCUCAGCAAGGGGAAAAAAACCCCGAACUUUCCCCCAUCCCCAUAAAAACACCCCUGUGGCAUUGCAGCAAGACUCUCAGGCAAGGGAAUGGUUUCUGGCUUCUUUGCUGAGCAGAGGAAACCAAAUGAUGCAGAAAACAAAGCUGUGAACUUGCACAGCAAUCCCUACUUUUAGCAGAGGCUUCUGCUAAGGAACUCCAGCUAAUAAACACGACAAUGGAACUCACAUAGCCAAGUCUCAAUAAUCCCUUGUUACCCUACCUUGGGAAAUAAAACAAGAUUAAAUAUUUAAGGAUUAAGUGUGAGGAAGAAAUCUAUUAAUUAUUCAGACUCUUAUUAACUCCCUAAAGAAAACAAACCAUUGCAAGUGUGAUCUCCCCAAUUUAUUGUAAAAACUACAGUAGCUAUCCAGAGGAAAUCAAAGAAGCUGGAAAAUUUGUUUUACUCUUUUGAUGUUGGCAAGUAACGAUAUUUAGGGUUUUUUUUACUUACUUCACUGAUCUUUAAAACUCCCUGCAACACAUUAAUCGUUAAUCAAUUAAGUAACAUUACACUCAAAACCAGGUAUCAUAGAUUUUCCAGAAUUAACAGAUCCUGUUUUGAAUACUUACCUGAAAUAUGAGCUGCACGUUGCAAGAACCAUCUUAUGGCAGGGAAAUUCAGUGCCCUCAACAAUCAACACUAUGUCAGUUAGCAGCUGCUGUUCAUAGAAGAAUUUUAACUGCUCCAGCAGGGAUACAGCAUACUCUGUAUUUAUCUGCCUCUCGUCCUGGGUAGACAUGACUGUAUUCCAUUAAUAUUUCCAGGACCAGAGAGAAAAGUCAAGAUCUUUUCGCCAGAGAAAGGUCAGGUGAAUGUUUCUGAAGUAACCAGGGAAGAAAUGGCAGGAGGUCUGUGGCCUUCCGAAGUGAUACUGAUAAAAAAAAGGCAGUGUUAUCUUGGACUGCUGAAUCAAUGUUUCAGACUUUGACCUACUGUUAGGUCAUCAUGCUCUGACUUGAUGUCACGGUCUGUUCAGAGACUUUCAAGAGUGUCUGCAGAGCUCCUGUUGAGAUCUAUGAUGCAUCAAAUGAAGAAGAAAAAGCGAAGACUGAGGUAGGUUUCGUGGUAACAUCUCGUGAUCAGUGACUUGAGUGA